rnacentral:rRNA from 1 species
AUUGAACGCUGGCGGCAUGCCUUACACAUGCAAGUCGAACGGCAGCACGGGUGCUUGCACCUGGUGGCGAGUGGCGAACGGGUGAGUAAUGCAUCGGAACGUACCCGGAAGUGGGGGAUAACGUAGCGAAAGUUACGCUAAUACCGCAUAUUCUGUGAGCAGGAAAGAGGGGGAUCGCAAGACCUCUCGCUUUCGGAGCGGCCGAUGUCGGAUUAGCUAGUUGGCGGGGUAAGAGCCCACCAAGGCGACGAUCCGUAGCGGGUCUGAGAGGAUGAUCCGACACACUGGGACGGAGACACGGCCCAGACUCCGACGGGAGGCAGGAGUGGGGAAUUUUGGACAAUGGGCGCAAGCCUGAUCCAGCCAUGCCGCGUGAGUGAAGAAGGCCUUCGGGUUGUAAAGCUCUUUCGGCUGGGAAGAAAUCGCAUCUCCUAAUACGGGGUGUGGAUGACGGUACCAGCAUAAGAAGCACCGGCUAACUACGUGCCAGCCGCCGCCGUAACAC